ACUGUUUAAUAUUCUGAUCAAUAUUCUGACCAUAUAUGUAAGAACCUAUUCACCCUGACCUGCAAAAUCGUAGGUUCUUAUACGCGGGAUUUUACUGUAUAAUGUACAGUUUAUAUUUAUCCUUAUUUACUCUAGAUCUGUCAAAUAUAUACCAAUAAAUUUGUAAUAAUUAUGAUUAAACGUAGGCAUUCAUAUGAAUGUAUGUAUAACCGAAAUUCAUUCGACAACAAACAUUCUUUGGCAUUUAUUAUCAUUCAUUAUAAUAUUCCAUGAAUUAUAUAAUUUUAUGAACAAUCUUUGAGGUUCGUAUAUUUAUACGAAGUUGAAAUUUUGUCUAAUUAUUGUAACAAGUUAUUGUAACAAUUUAUCAUGUAAUUAUUGUAAAUAUAUACUGCAUGCAUUGUAGUCCGCGUAAUUACUAGGAAUAAAAGACGUACUAUAAGAUUGCAAGGUAUAGAUGCGAUACUAUGUAUUGUUUUGACCGACAGCCUCAUUUGAGCGCAGUAAAAUCUUCACAGUCCGGUAUUUCCAUAUGAAAAACGGCCGAAUUGAGAACAUUCACUUCAGGGGCGGAUCUACCGAGUUGGUGCAGGGUGGGGGGGG
rnacentral:lncRNA from 1 species